rnacentral:lncRNA from 1 species
AGCUGCAAUGCAACAAUGCUACCUAGGUAUCACCUGAACCUACCAUCAAUCGCUGUUCCUGAUCUCAGGGAUCCAACAACUGUAUCUAGAACAGUUAGAAAUGUAGGUGAGGUUAAUGCAGUUUACCACGCUGAAAUCCAGUGCCCACCUGGAGUUAAAAUGGUUGUUGAGCCAUCUGUUCUUGUCUUCGAUGCUGCAAACAAAGUUCACACCUUCAAGGUUAGUUUUUCACCUCUAUGGAAAUUGCAAGGGGACUAUACAUUUGGCAGCCUUACUUGGCACAAUGACAACAAGUCAGUGAGAAUUCCAAUAGCAGUCCAGAUCACCAUCCAAGAUUUCUAUGCAGAUGUUGCAUAACCUGGGCAAAACAUGCAGGCAAUAACACAGUGCUCUUAGAGGCAAUAGAGCAAAAUACAGGAUAUACCAAUUUCCACAGAGAUAUGGUUGCUUGUAAAUACUUAUCACCAGAAUAAUGAGUUAAUGACCGGCCAAUGUUGACUGGUCAAUGUAUUUCAUUUCUAUCACGUAUCUGAUUAUCACUUCGAUGGAUGGUCAAUUUCAUACCAUGUUGGUUACAGAAAUACAAAAAUGUUCAGGUCUAUGUCAUGCCAUGUCUUAAAAUAUCAUGUAGUUUUUCCUCCCACCUAACGCGGUAUGACACUGAUUAAAGUCACAAUGCUUACCUGCAAUGACAAAGAGGGGUGGUAAAAAGUCACAAGAUGACACUCAAAACAUGCUUUGCAAGUUCAUUUGCAAUCAGAAGUCAGUCCCACACACGAUUUUACUUGAUGGAAAUUCCAGGUAUUUGAUCUGUUAGCUACUCUGUAGAAAAGAAGGUAAGGAAAAUGGCACCCCCGUAUUGUGUAAAGUUCUAUAGCCUGACUCCACCUAUCAGACAUUUAUUCACGUUUUGGUUUGCCCAUGUCAACAAGUUGCGACAGUAAGAGUGCACAGGUUACUUCUCAUCAAAGCACACGACUACUUUUUAGGACAAAAAACUCCAACAAAAUCUUCUGUUCAUGUUAUAUCCCUUCCCAUGUUAAAUUUAGUUAUCAUACAAAGAGUCAAUGUCAUGCAAGCUAAGAAAAUCCAGAUGAUUAGUACAAACUACAGAGUAUCCAAGAUGAACUCAUAGUAUGAUGUAUUUUGACGAGCAAGGGAAAGAAAAGGUCUAUGUGCAUGUGGAACAACAUUGGUCAUAAUGGAAUUAAUAAUCCACAAAUGGUUACACAUGACCUGUACACCAACAAACACAUGACUUACGAACAAAGGAUAGCAUCGCUUGUUCAAACGGGACGAGUCAAAACUUCUGGAGAUGGACUAUUUGCACAUUGUGUUGUUAUCUGAGUAUUAUCUGUGUAGCUUAGAACUGAUCAUUAAAAUGAAAAACAAAAUAAAAUAGAAGUCUUACAAAUUUAUCUGAGUAUUAUCUGGUUUACUACGUAUUUCAAUAGCGAAACAAAUGCAUUGAUGUAAAAUAAUACAGUUUCAUCUCAGUCAAAAUAUUUUAAAGAGAAACCAACAGGGGCCUGGUGGUGCUAAAGUCUAACAUAGGAAGAUCGCAGCAUAUCAUCAGCUAACUACUACAAUGGAUAUUGACAGGCAAAUACGGAGUAGCUUUCAAAAUUUUGGGGAAAAAGAUAACUCAUCCAACAUAACUGUCUUCUUCCAUUUGUAUGUCAUGUUUCUGUCAAUUCUCAAGAUGCCCAGCAGAGAAACUUGCCUCUAUAAAUUGUACAUUGAUGGGUUGGAGAAAAACGUGCACAGAUAUAAACAAUGACCUUACACUCUUCGUAACCAAUUUAUCAGCUCGCCACUAAUCCUGCCCUCUAUAUCUAUCUCUGAUUAUCCAAUUGAAGUGCAACAAGAACUCGCUAAUGUGAUUGAGCAUACUCGAGGCAGUGUGCCACUCCAUGAGUCCAAGAUCCAGUGCUCACCAGGAAUCAAAAUCGGCAUCGAUCCAUCUGUUCAUAGUUAGACUAUCACAUGUACGGCAAUGAAGGGGGCUACAUUUUUUUUUUUUAAAAAAAAAAGAAGGCAAGAAGAUUGCCUUACUUGGAAGGAUAGCCGCACCAUACAGUGAGGAUCUCAAAUGCUGUACAGAUUACGGCUCAUAAUUUCUACCGCUGAUGUAGCAUAGCCCGAAUGUCCGUGAAAAUUGCAAAAUAAGAGGCAAAUCCGAGAGGGAGAAACGAUCUGAACACCGCGUGUUUGUGCCCGUAGAAGAGGAUAAGAGUCGUUCUGUGCUUGUGAGGAUUACCUUUCUUCACUCGCCGUCAAUUGGGACGGCCGCCGAGGGAGACGAAACCGGCAGAGGAGGGACGAACUCGGGUCGCCCGGCAGCAUCCGGCGGGCGACGCCUCGGUGCGUGUGCGGAGCUAGCUCCUAGCGGCGGGGGGGGGGGGGGGGGGGUGGGGCUUGUUCGUUGCUACCUCCUUCAUCAUCGGCUUGGCCGGCUCAGACGCUGGGAACUUGGGGACAGCAUUUGCCGGCGGCCGCCC